rnacentral:rRNA from 1 species
AGUGAACGCUGGCGGUAGGCCUAACACAUGCAGGUCGAACGGCAGCACAGGAGAGCUUGCUCUCUGGGUGGCGAGUGGCGGACGGGUGAGGAAUACAUCGGAAUCUACUCUGUCGUGGGGGAUAACGUAGUGAAACUUACGCUAAUACCGCAUAGGACCUACGGGUGUAAGCAGGGGACCUUCGGGCCUUGCGCGAUUGAAUGAGCCGAUGUCGGAUUAGCUAGUUGGCGGGGUAAAGGCCCACCAAGGCGACGAUCCGUAGCUGGCCUGAGAGGAUGAUCAGCCACACUGGAACUGAGACACGGUCCAGACUCCUACGGGAGGCAGCAGUGGGGAAUAUUGGACAAUGGGCGCAAGCCUGAUCCAGCCAUACCGCGUGGGUGAAGAAGGCCUUCGGGUUGUAAAGCCCUUUUGUUGGGAAAGAAAUCCAGCUGGCUAAUACCCGGUUGGGAUGACGGUACCCAAAGAAUAAGCACCGGCUAACUUCGUGCCAGCCGCCGCGGUAA